rnacentral:rRNA from 1 species
AUUGAACGCUGGCGGCAGGCCUAACACAUGCAAGUCGAACGGUAACAGGAAGCAGCUUGCUGCUUCGCUGACGAGUGGCGGACGGGUGAGUAAUGUCUGGGAAGCUGCCUGAUGGAGGGGGAUAACUACUGGAAACGGUAGCUAAUACCGCAUAAUUUCGCAAGACCAAAGAGGGGGACCUUCGGGCCUCUUGCCAUCGGCUUUGCCCAGAUGGGAUUAGCUUGUUGGUGGGGUAACGGCUCACCAAGGCGACGAUCCCUAGCUGGUCUGAGAGGAUGACCAGCCACACUGGAACUGAGACACGGUCCAGACUCCUACGGGAGGCAGCAGUGGGGAAUAUUGCACAAUGGGCGAAAGCCUGAUGCAGCAAUGCCGCGUGUAUGAAGAAGGCCUUCGGGUUGUAAAGUACUUUCAGCGGGGAGGAAGGGAGUAAAGUUAAUACCUUGGCUCAUUGACGUUACCCGCAGAAGAAGCACCGGCUAACUCCGUG